GGCGGACGGGUGAGUAAUACUUAGGAAUCUGCCCAUUAGUGGGGGACAACAUUCGGAAACGGAUGCUAAUACCGCAUACGCCCUACGGGGGAAAGCGGGGGAUCUUUUAGACCUCGCGCUAAUGGAUGAGCCUAAGUCGGAUUAGCUUGUUGGUGAGGUAAUGGCUCACCAAGGCAACGAUCCGUAGCUGGUCUGAGAGGACGAUCAGCCACACUGGGACUGAGACACGGCCCAG
rnacentral:rRNA from 1 species